CCCUUCGAUCACCGAAGUUAAGUAACGUCGAGCCCGGUCAUUACCGAGAUGGGUGACCGCUUGGGAAUACCAGGUGGUGCAAG